CACAGCCUGACAUGAUGGACUGUAGGACAGGACUGCUGCUUAUAACUCUCUGCUUGGCAGGUGUUAAUGGUCAGACUCUGACAGAAUCUGAACCAGCAGUUAAACAACCUGGUCAGUCUCACAGAUUGACCUGUACAACAUCUGGAUUCACACUCAGCAGCUACUGGAUUCACUGGAUCAGACAGGCUCCUGGAAAGGGCCUGGAGUGGAUUGCUGCUGAUGGUGGUGGUACCAAAUACUACUCUCAGUCAGUACAAGGUCGAUUUACUGUCUCCAGAGACGACAGCAGACAGCAGGUGUAUCUGCAGAUGAACAGCCUGAAGACUGAAGAUUCUGCUGUUUAUUAUUGUGCCCGAGAGUCACAGUGA